CAUGAACAUUGACAAUUCGAACGCACAUUGCGGCCCUAG
rnacentral:rRNA from 1 species